AUACACCUUCUUUUCAAAUCGCGGCAGACGUACCGACGAAAAGCACACGCCGCAAGUCAUCGGUCGUGUUCGGUCAAACAUAUAUAUAUAAUACAUAAAUAUGUUUUUUUUUUAAUUCCUUGACCGGCCGUUCAGUGUCGUCCCUGUUUGCCACCGUGUGUGUGUGUGUGUGUAUUUUUCCCGGGCUUUUACCUGGCCAUUAUAAAUACGGGGUGCACGCGGGCAACAUCAUUCAGUCUACUACCGGCUUUUCACCGAACGACAUCUAUUUAGCCUUCGUGUAUUAAAUAUAUAUUUUAAAAAUAAAUUCAGUUCGCCGCCAAAGUGUGUUCACGUUUUCGAAACAAUUUUACCGAUUUGAAAUUUAUUUUUGAAAUUUGAUUUAACCUUCCGAACGCAAUCAUCAACGAUGGGUUUGGAUCCGACCGGUUUAUACUGAAACACCCGCGCUUCAAAAUCGCCAAUAAUUUUUUUAUUGACAAAAAAAUAAAUAAACUCAAAUUUAUUUUUCUCAACACGCCGACAGCCAAUACAAUCAACAUGUGCGGAGGAGGACCGAAACUGGACCCAACCGGCCUUUACUGAACAUGCAGUAGAAACCCAUCGAUACCCGUCACCGUAAUGUUCAAAUCAGGUUUACAAAAAAACAUGUAUCCCGAAAUGGCGGUGCCGAAAGCUAGUACCUUCCAUCACGGCACUCUUAGGCAUCCGUAUUGGCCUCAAACAACAGUCCGUUGGAGGCUAUCGCUCAACAAUGUUAUUUAAAGAGACAAAAUAUUCACAGUUCAGAUUUAUAUCUCUGGCUCAAGGAGGACAAAUCGCGACAGAGUUUUUUUUUUAACUAUUUAAACACUCAAAAAAAAAAAAAAUAGUUAUAUUGUUAAUUUUUUUUGUUUUUUUUUUUAAGAUUUACAUUUCCUCCUCACUUAUUAUUAUUAUUAUUAUUAUUAUUAUCAUUUUUAUUGUCAUCGUGGGAUUACAUGUAGUUUCAUCGGGAAUAUGGACAUCUGUAAUGAUUAGCUGAUCAUAGUCCCCAUGAAAUAGGGUUUCUGUAUGUAAUAAAAAAAAAUAUAUACCUAUCAAUGUUUUUCUAAGAAUUCGUUUCGACACUAAGUACAUCGAAUACUACAAAGAUUUAAAAUACAGUUAUCUUAUGUAUUGUUAACUAUGUGGACAAUAACUUUAAAUUAACUUAAAAUCUUAUGUUAUUUUUUUUUAUUUAAUGGUAAUAAUUAUUUAUUAUUAUUUUAUUUUUAUUUUUAUUGCUGUAAUUGAAAUUUUGUAUGUGUCAAUAAGAAUAACAAAGAAAAGUAGAACACUUUAAAAGCGAGUGUAAUGAAUGUAGGUUUAAAAAAGACUGACUUAUCUGAACUACAAUUUUAUCAAAUAUUUGUUCUUCAAUUCUAAUAUUGUAUGGUCUCAGGAAAAUAUGUUUUUUUCUAUUUUUAUCAUUUUCUUCUCCGUAUAUUUAUUUAUUUUGUACAUAAAAAUGAAAUAAAAGUUUUAAAAUAA